GGAGAGAGAAUGCAAAGUGUGCGAGGGGUAGAGUUGUGAGUCGGGGCUGAACGGGGCCGAGACUCCUCCUUCUAAUCUGAGUCCAAACACAGAGUCACAGCUUCUUUCCUCUUUCUACUCACAGAGACUCACACUGCAGAUAUGAAGCCUCUGUUCAUCUCACUGCUGCUGGCUGCUCUGUGUCCUGAAGGCAGAGCACAACAAGACAUGGUGCAGCAACCAGGAGGAGACGUGACUGCGACUGGAGGAGAAGCAGCAACACUUGGUUGUCGAUACGUCAGCAGCACAACAAGUGUGUCUCUCCUCUGGUACAAACAGGAAGGAACCAACAACCCAACAUUCAUCCUGAUCCGCUUUCAACUGGGAGAAGGAAAAACAGCAGAUGACUUCAGAGAGAGAUUUUCAUCCACACUGAAUUCCACCUCGAGAUCAUCUCCUCUGAAGAUCCAGAAGCUGCAGCCGUCUGACUCUGCUGUGUACUACUGUGCUCUGAGUUCCACAGUGACAGGAAACUACACAACUCUGUACAAAAACCUGUGGAGCAAACACACAACUCCUCAUCCUCCACUAGAGGGAGUCACUCACUGUUAAACCUCAGUGGUUUGUGAUGACGUUUGUUUCACAAUAAAACAAAUUCUAACAA